UAGGGAAUAUUGGACAAUGGGGGCAACCCUGAUCCAGCCAUGCCGCGUGAGUGAAGAAGGCCCUCGGGUUGUAAAGCUCUUUUGUCCGGAAAGAAAAGCAUUCGGUGAAUACCCGGAUGUUCUGACGGUACCGGAAGAAUAAGCACCGGCUAACUUCGUGCCAGCAGCCGCGGUAAUACGAAGGGUGCAAGCGUUACUCGGAAUUACUGGGCGUAAAGCGUGCGUAGGUGGUUGUUUAAGUCUGAUGUGAAAGCCCUGGGCUCAACCUGGGAAUGGCAUUGGAAACUGGGCAGCUAGAGUGCGGUAGAGGGUAGUGGAAUUCCCGGUGUAGCAGUGAGAUGCGUAGAGAUCGGGAGGAACAUCUGUGGCGAAGGCGACUGCCUGGACCAGCACUGACACUGAGGCACGAAAGCGUGGGGAGCAAACA
rnacentral:rRNA from 1 species